rnacentral:rRNA from 1 species
GGGGAGGAGCCCAGAGCCUGAAUCAGUGUGUGUGUUAGUGGAAGCGUCUGGAAAGGCGCGCGAUACAGGGUGACAGCCCCGUACACAAAAAUACACAUAUUGUGAGCUCGAUGAGUAGGGCGGGACACGUGGUAUCCUGUCUGAAUAUGGGGGGACCAUCCUCCAAGGCUAAAUACUCCUGACUGACCGAUAGUGAACCAGUACCGUGAGGGAAAGGCGAAAAGAACCCCGGCGAGGGGAGUGAAAAAGAACCUGAAACCGUGUACGUACAAGCAGUGGGAGCACGCUUAGGCGUGUGACUGCGUACCUUUUGUAUAAUGGGUCAGCGACUUAUAUUCUGUAGCAAGGUUAACCGAAUAGGGGAGCCGAAGGGAAACCGAGUCUUAACUGGGCGUUAAGUUGCAGGGUAUAGACCCGAAACCCGGUGAUCUAGCCAUGGGCAGGUUGAAGGUUGGGUAACACUAACUGGAGGACCGAACCGACUAAUGUUGAAAAAUUAGCGGAUGACUUGUGGCUGGGGGUGAAAGGCCAAUCAAACCGGGAGAUAGCUGGUUCUCCCCGAAAGCUAUUUAGGUAGCGCCUCGUGAAUUCAUCUCCGGGGGUAGAGCACUGUUUCGGCAAGGGGGUCAUCCCGACUUACCAACCCGAUGCAAACUGCGAAUACCGGAGAAUGUUAUCACGGGAGACACACGGCGGGUGCUAACGUCCGUCGUGAAGAGGGAAACAACCCAGACCGCCAGCUAAGGUCCCAAAGUCAUGGUUAAGUGGGAAACGAUGUGGGAAGGCCCAGACAGCCAGGAUGUUGGCUUAGAAGCAGCCAUCAUUUAAAGAAAGCGUAAUAGCUCACUGGUCGAGUCGGCCUGCGCGGAAGAUGUAACGGGGCUAAACCAU